UAACAUAGUCCAAAUGUAGCAAGAUUUCGUAGUAUCAGAUUUUCUGAGAAGCUUUGCAAGCCACCAUUGGUCAGAAGCUUCCUCCAGAAAAGGUUUCCCUUGGAAAACUCUGUCAAGGGAACUAGUCCUUGGAGUCCAAGCACUAAACUAGAGGGAAGAUGGACAAGACACCACAAACAAGCAAAGGAAGUGAGACUCACCACUGAGGAUGUUCGCUUGAAUCAUUACCACUGGCAAAGAUACACAAGAAAGGAAGAUGCUAGAGUGAGCUCUCAGAUUCCAGGUUUUUCUACAGGAAUUCAGAGUAACAUGGUCCAAGCCCAUGAGAAACCACAGCUUGAAGCUGCAGUGCAGAAACAUCUCUGA
rnacentral:lncRNA from 1 species